AGAACAAGAUGUAGCCAAGGACAACUUGCCGGAAGACAGGCACCGCACGGUAUGGGCUCAAAAUUCCAAACAGAUUGCAUAUGCUCCCCUGUAACAUGCAUGCUCAAAAUACCCGGCAAGUCAUCCUUGGCUGCAUCCCACUCUCU
rfam:Zea mays cultivar B73 chromosome 9, whole genome shotgun sequence.